UGUUGUUUUAAAACUGACUUGAAAAAUUGUGAGCGUAUCCUUUAAUGUUGAAGUCGAACCAUCAUCAACUCAGACAUGACAGCUGCCCUCGCUGUCUUUGCCACUGCACUGCUGCUGACCUCUGCGGCAAAGCUGCUGCAACUCUGAUGCAAUAAUUCUUACCUAAUGCUGUUGGCCUGUCUUGUAAAGGGGCACUUUGCCAAAAUAGGCUUUUAAAAACUUUUUCAGUUGAUAUUGAGCUCACAUGGUACACUUUCUUAAAUACAUUUUGUCACAAAAUAAUUUGAUUCAGGUCAGACCUGGAUAAGCCAAUUAGUCUUCCAGCUAGGAGUACUGCUUGGGAAAAUAAUGUGAGUCUGGUGUACACAGUACAUGAUGGGCAUUUGAAGGUAUACAGUAAGAGUUCCAUACCUUAUUUAAGUCCCUAGUGGAUUAAUCCAGCCAUGAUUGGACAGACCUGAAGCAGCCACACUCUGGGCCUGACUUUGAUGAAAACUGGAGGUGGAGAGAUGCAGAGAACAUAAGACAGCAAUGCCAGGCAAAGCUUCCAACACCCACUGUGAACUGCAUAGCAAAUGCAGAGUUCUUGGAGUACUAGCAGAGAAUUCCCUCCCCUUUGCUAUUGCUCCAAUAAUCAUGGAGCUUGCUCAAAAUCUUGCUCUGGACAAAGUGGCUUUGCAGGGAAUAAAGGUUUCCACUAAAAGCUUUAACAUCGGCAUCGUACAAGAUGGUCCAUGGCCUAGGGCGGACUUUGUCUGAAAGGACCUUCUCCAACCUGAGGAGAUUUCCCUUUUCCUUAAACUUGGACGAAAGUACAUCAAACAACAACAAAAAGGUCCUCUCCAUGCUUGUCAGCUUCUACCAUGAUGACUUGAGGCAGGUGAUGGUGGAGCAUUUGGGGUCCCUAGAGGUCAUGAAAGUAAAUGUCACCACCUUGGGGAGGGUGCUCUGCAAGUUCUUUGACCAAAAUAAAAUACCACAGAAACAUCUGGCAUGACACAGCAAGGCAAAGACAGGAAGAAAAGGGUCUGUUGAAAGAUGAGGGGACUAUAACGCUACUACAGCUCAACAUUUACAUGGGUGUAUUGGCAUAUCCUGAAGGAAUAUGUCAUGGUUUUCCAAGGUAGCCAGAUGUUGGUGCAACUCCAAGACAAGCAGCUUGAGCUGUUCCUGGCUUUCCUGGCUUGCUUCCUAAAAGGGGAACAUAUCACUCAGUGUCACCCAGGGCUCUGAGAGAGAUGGUCCUGGAGGAUGACAUGCUGCUGCCUGCCAGGGAGAUGUGUGUGGGACUGGAAGCAGACACAUUCAGGGUCAGGGAUCCCAAUCACACUCCAUUCAUGGAAAAGAUGAGAAAAGCCUACAUCCACCACUACUGCUUGCUAUAUGCAGAGGAAGCUCCCCUUGGCCAGCCAGACACUGAGGGCCCUUUCUGCUCUGGACCCACUUCUGAGAGGUCACUGACAGGCAACCAUCCAGCUGCAGACAUUGAGUGGAAUGCUGGGCCACCUCUUACCAGCUGGCAAUGACAUCCACCAAGGGAUCAUAUGGUACAAUGUUGAUCUGUGCCUGGCCAGGUUCAAGGACGUAGAGAGCAUGGUGGAGUGGUGGGGCCAUGUCUUUGAGACAUGAGAAAGUCAAAUACACCCUCCAGUCCAGUGAGAAAAUGGCUGUCCAGCUCUUCAAAAGGGAGGAUGUCAGGUACAGGGAGGAGGACCGCACCUCUCCAUACCUGACAAGAACAUCCAGUCAGCAGAAACCACUGACGGCAAGCAACAGCAGCAGAACAAGUAUGGCUGCCAAUCAUCUGGUUGUGCUCAGGAGAGCAAAACGCAGACAGCUGAAGAGGAAAAGAGGGCAAGGCUGAGGCAUAUGGCAAAACAGCAAAAGCGGGCCCUUGAGACACUGGUCCAGGCCAAGAAGAAAAAACUACACACAGACCCCUCUAGCCCUGUCUCCCCCACCAGUCCUAAAGCAUAGGAAACUCUUUCAUAUUCACAUGUGUGUGUUUAAGUAAUCAUUUUGAAAAUAAUUGUAAUUAGUUGUGUACCUGGUGGGGCUGCCCUUUGUUAAUUUUCUUUGUAAAUGUGAGCAUAUUAUACAUAGAGGUACAUUUGCACUUACUAAAAGAAUACUCUGUACUAUAUUUUGCUCAAUCUUGUAAUUCUGUUAGCUUGUGACCAACACCAGAGUAAUCCUAAAAGUCAUCAAAAAUGAGCAUUUAGGAGCUUAUUUUUCAAAGAAAAAUCUCUGCAGGAGCAUACCCCCGGAUUAGUUCAAUUAGUACCUGCAGGUAUGCAACCUCCAACCAGCUGUGGCUUAAUCAUGUCUGCUGGCAAGUGACUUCCUCUGUUCUUUGUCUCACAGGAUUAUCCAUCACCGCUCUUCAGUAUGCUUUGGGAAUAUGUAUGUAUGUUUUAGCCGUGGCUCAUGGAGCUGUAUUGAUUUGGCAGGGUUGUUAAUUUGUCAUUUACAUGCUGCAGUUCCUCAAAUUCAGCAUAUGCAGGGGAUUCUGAUUUGAUCCUUGGAACCAAUACAUUUCCUGUCAUGGUAAUAUGAGUUGGUAGGCUAAUUCCUUUAUAAGCCUAACAGCUGUGGUUAAUGAAAACACAAAACAGAUAUUUCAGUGCCUUAGAGGAAACAAAGGGAAUGUGCUUUAUUUUAAAAUGAGACAACUACCAGCUGACAAAAUGAUUACUGGCCUUGAAAUUAGACUAUUGCUUAUUAUAGUUUUUACAUGUAUAUAAUAUUCUCACCAUUCUAUUCUUUCAACUUUACUGUAAGGGCUGCCCUACAUUGAUUUUUUGAUCAUGAAUAAAUCAAGGAGCAGGUCAUUAUCCUUAAGCUGCCACAAUGAUAAUGCAUGGCAACUCAGAUGAAUUUGAACAGUCACACGCUGAUUUAUACACAUAUGAGCAAAAUUAUUCAGCCAAAUGUCUUUAUUAUGAAACUUAAUUAAAGGGUUAGUUUGACAUUUGGGAAGAACAGUAAUUUGCUCUCUUGCCGAGAGUUAGAUACCACUCUCAUAUCUGUUCAUAAAUAUGAAGCCAACAGCUAGCUCUGUCCAAAGAUUUAAAAAAUCCAUCUACCAGUAUCUCUAAGCUCACUAAUUGACGUUAUAUCUUAAACCAAAGUGUAAAAGAGAUGCCUGGGACACACUGGAUGCGUGAGCAGCAUGUGUGUGUCACGGAACCUCUUGCUUUUCAUUUUGACGCCCAUGUUAACAGGUUUAGAGCACACUGCUGCGUCAAGUCAUCUAGAGAUUCGAGGUCUCGUCUAUUUUCUCUGCGUGAUGCGCACGGUUAUUAACAGAAAUAGACAGGGAAAGCGAUAGAAAGAUAGGGCUGCCAGUGGCAGAAGCGCCGCAGCAGACACGCUUCCUGUGUGGACGCUGCAAGCGUGAGAGACGCAGCAGUUCAGUGACGCACACGCACUGCUGAGGUUUACGCAUCUAGUGUGUCCCAGGCGAGAAUAUUCAGUUUUUCAGCAGAUUAAACAAACAAGAUAUAACUUGUUGGUUAGAGAGCUUUAGACGUGCUGGUAAAUGGAUUUUGUCACCUGUAGACUGCCAAGCAAAGUAGCUAGCUGUUUCCUCUGCAUUAUUAUGGAUCCCACUGACCCUAACCCUAACCCUAACCAAUCUCACACCUCAUACCUAAACCUAACAAACCCAACCAACAAGUACCAGCCAUUUAGAGGGAGAGUAGGUCAGGUCUUGCCAAGAAAAGCAGUGGGAUCCAUAAUAACGCAUUUCCCCCUGUUUACAAUCGCUAUGCUACACUAAGCUACACAGGUGCUGUCUGUAGUUUCGUAUUUAACAGACAGAUAUGAGAGUGGAAGAGAUCUUAUCUAACUCACAGCAAGAAAGCAAAUAAGUGCGUUUCCCAAAAUGUAAAACAAUUGCUUUAAUUGGUGAGCUUUAAAGGUAUUU